ACUGCCUGGGCGGGUAGCUGGGAAGUCAGCAGCGCCUGCGCGGGCGUCGACUGGUUGUGGGGGUGGAGGAUGCGCGCGCAGCGCCUCCGGCCUAAGCGGAAGUUUCCGCUGGACAGCCAAAGAAGCACCACAACAAGAAAAGAAAUUGCCUCCAUCAGUAAGUGGCAGAAGCAGGAUUCAAACCCAGGCCGCUGUCAAGAUGGAGUUUCCAGCCCAGUGAAUCUGAAGACCAGACUGUGACCCCAUAAAGCAUGAUCUCCUUCUGUCCAGACUGUGGCAAAAGUAUUGAAGCCACAUUCAAAUUCUGCCCCUACUGUGGAAAACCUUUGCCUACAGAGGAGCAUGCAAAGUCCCCGACGUGUGUCAGGCGACGGGAAUCGUCCUUGCAAGGUUCAAAGAGAGAGCAGAGCUCCAGGUCUGAAACCUCUCCCAAGAAAGUGAGAUGGUCAAACAUUGUCAUCUCUUCCCAGUCAUCCUUUCUCUCUGACGGUGGCAGUCCUGAGCCAGAAGAUGCCGUGAGUUCUUCUGAGAGGUCCAAAGGGGCCAGGAGCAGACCCCCAACCCCCAAAAGCAGCCCAAAGUCCACCAAGUGCAGCCCUCAGACGCUGAAGCGGAGUCGGGCAACCAUCUCUCUUGAGGCUUUGCCCUCGGGGACAGAGCUGAUGGACAAAAAUGGGCAGCGCUGGAGGCUGGGAGCGCUGCAGACCAGGGACGACCAGGGCAUUCUCUACGCAGCCGAGUCCGCCUCUGUCCUCCCCUGCCAGUCAAGGUCUCAAAAACACCAAUUCUCCAUCAAACUGGAUGCCAAAGAUGGUCGCCUGUUCAAUGAGCAGAACUUCUUCCAGCGGGCUGCCAAGCCUCUACAAGUGAAUAAAUGGAAGAAGCUGUACUCAACCCCGCUCCUGGCCAUCCCCACCUGUAUCGGUUUUGGUGUUCACCAGGACAAGUACAGGUUCUUGGUGUUCCCCAGCCUGGGUCGGAGCCUGCAGUCAGCCCUGGAUGUGAGCCCGAAGCAUGUGAUACCGGAGAAGUGUGUGUUCCAGGUGGCCUGCCGGCUGCUGGAUGCCCUGGAAUUCCUCCAUGAAAAUGAGUAUGUUCAUGGGAAUCUGACAGCAGAGAAUGUCUUUGUGAAUCCAGAAGAUCUGAGCCAGGUGACCCUGGCAGGCUACAGCUUCUCCUUCCGCUAUUGCCCAAGUGGCAGACAUGUGGCCUACACAGAAGGCAGCAGGAGCCCCCACGAGGGGGACCUCGAGUUCAUUAGCAUGGAUCUACAUAAAGGAUGUGGGCCCUCUCGCCGGAGUGACCUCCAGACCCUUGGCUACUGUAUGCUGAAGUGGCUUUAUGGGUCCCUGCCGUGGACAAACUUCCUUCCCAACACUGAGGAGAUCAUGAAGCAGAAGCAGAAACAUGAUGGGAUGAAUGAAAUAAGCACGACACAGAGUUCAAGUCCCACAGGCUUUCUGCUGUGGGUGCCCCUCGAAGAGUGCAAAUGGGUGUUCCCGAAUCGACAGUGUUUAUUACUAAGGUAUCUUGACAACCCAGAGCCACUCGGACUGUGUGGUCACCGCAGCAGAUCCUCAGAGGCCCUGCAGCAGUACCUGAUGGUGGUGAUGGCCCUCAAGUACGAGGAGAAGCCGCCCUACGCCAUCCUGAGGAACGGUCUGGAAGCCCUGCUGCAGGAUCUGCAGGUGUCAGCCUAUGACCCCCUCAACCUACAGAUGGCACCCAGGCAGGACCCAGGGCGCCAAGGGGCAUCUGGCAGAGCCUGGGGACACUUUUGGCUGCACCAGCUUAGGAGAGCGUGCAACUGAGCACCCAGCCGCAGAGGCCAGGGCCGCUGAUCAGCAUGGAUACCACAUAGCACAGCCCUGCCGCUGUCACCAGCAGAGACCUACCUGCCAGGUGUCACCAGGGAGCUGUUGAGAUCGCCUGAUCUGGGACCUUCUGAGCAGCACCACCCAGAACUUUCAACCUGCCGUUUGAAAUAGAAAAAUGAAGCUGUGUGAGCCAAGGCCUGCCGUUUAGUCGCAGAUGAGUUCUAGGAAAAUCCCUGGAAUGUGCAUUGCCACCCCUUCUCCAGUGCUGAUCAGCUCAGGGAGCCCUGCGGGUAAUGUGAAGCUCCUCUUCUCACUGCUGUCUCACAGCCUCCAGGCAUGAGGAUGAAGACUCCAACUCAGGCGAGCUGGGCCCCUCACUAAGACCCUCCUGGUCCCACCGUGCUUUAAUAAUAAGUCAUUUUCUUGAGCA